rnacentral:tRNA from 1 species
GCUCUGGUGGCUCAAUCGGAUAGAGCAUUGGACUUCUAAUCCAAAGGACGAGCUCCAGUGCC